rnacentral:rRNA from 1 species
UACGUAGGGUGCAAGCGUUGUCCGGAAUUAUUGGGCGUAAAGAGCUCGUAGGCGGUUUGUCGCGUCUGCUGUGAAAACUCAGGGCUUAACCCUGAGCUUGCAGUGGGUACGGGCAGACUAGAGUGCGGUAGGGGAGACUGGAAUUCCUGGUGUAGCGGUGAAAUGCGCAGAUAGUCAGGAGGAACACCGGUGGCGAAGGCGGGUCUCUGGGCCGUAACUGGACG